GAUGAACGCUCGCGGCGUGCCUAAUACAUGCAAGUCGAGCGAACAGACGAGGAGCUUGCUCCUUCGACGUUAGCGGCGGACGGGUGAGUAACACGUAGGUAACCUACCUAUAAGACUGGGAUAACUUCGGGAAACCGGAGCUAAUACCGGAUAAUAUUUCGAACCGCAUGGUUCGAUAGUGAAAGAUGGCUUUGCUAUCACUUAUAGAUGGACCUGCGCCGUAUUAGCUAGUUGGUAAGGUAACGGCUUACCAAGGCAACGAUACGUAGCCGACCUGAGAGGGUGAUCGGCCACACUGGAACUGAGACACGGUCCAGACUCCUACGGGAGGCAGCAGUAGGGAAUCUUCCGCAAUGGGCGAAAGCCUGACGGAGCAACGCCGCGUGAGUGAUGAAGGUCUUCGGAUCGUAAAACUCUGUUAUUAGGGAAGAACAAACGUGUAAGUAACUGUGCACGUCUUGACGGUACCUAAUCAGAAAGCCACGGCUAACUACGUG
rnacentral:rRNA from 1 species